rnacentral:lncRNA from 1 species
UGAUUAAGUAGUUUUACUGCAUGCAACGCAUCUAAUUUCCCAAAAAAUUAUCACACUACAACAAAAAUGGUCUAUAGCGCCACUUUUAAAUGUUGGUAUAGGUUAAAAAAAGUGCUGCUGGCUAAAUUACCGACACUUUUAAAAUGUGUUGCUAUAUGUGGGGCCGCUAGGUAUAUAGUGACAGUUAAAGAGUGUCGUUAUAACCUAAAAAGAGUGCUGUUAAUUUAGCAACACUUAUUUAAGCAUCUAGCAACCGCCGGAACUCUACCUCGUUGGCUGCGAUGGCGGAGGAGGACGAGAGGGAAGGGCCCUUCGUCUAGGAUUUAAGUGGAAUGAGUGAGAGGAGUAGAGAUGGUAACCGAUUUUUCUUUAUUUUUUCUUUUCUGUUUGUAAUCGAGCUAAAUAGGCUGGGUUGGGUGGGUUGAGUAGAGUAGUAACUUUUUAUUUUUUGUGGGAUUCGGCUUUAUAUUUAGACAUUAGUAGAUAUUUUUUAAAAUUUUGGUAUAAAUGGAAUACUUAUAUAAAAGUGUCCCAAAUAUAUGUCGCUAUAACCUAAUUCUGUUGUAGUGUCAUAUCAUAUUUCUUUCGUAUUGUUAUGUGCAAUAGGGAUAGAAAA